rnacentral:rRNA from 1 species
AGAGUUUGAUCAUGGCUCAGGAUGAACGCUAGCGGCAGGCUUAACACAUGCAAGUCGAGGGGCAGCACGGGUAGCAAUACCUGGUGGCGACCGGCGCAAGGGUGCGUAACGCGUGAGCAACAUGCCCUAUACAGGGGGAUAAUCCAGGGAAACUUGGUCUAAUAUCCCAUAGUAUUUAGAGGAGGCAUCUUCUAUAAAUUAAAGCUUCGGUGGUAUAGGAUUGGCUCGCGUGACAUUAGCUAGAUGGUGAGGUAACGGCUCACCAUGGCAAUGAUGUCUAGGGGUUCUGAGAGGAAGGCCCCCCACACUGGGACUGAAACACUGCCCAGACACCUACGGGUGGCUGCAGUCGAGAAUCUUCGGCAAUGGGCGAAAGCCUGACCGAGCGAUGCCGCGUGCGGGAUGAAGGCCCUCGGGUUGUAAACCGCUGUCGUAGGGGAGAAAGGUCUCGUGAAGAGCGAGAUUUGAUCUAUCCUAGGA